rnacentral:piRNA from 1 species
UCCAAUGCAGUGAGGCCGAAAGGGUC